UGUGGUGUAUUGUGGAUAUAUUAUAGACUGUGUGGUGUAUUGUGUUCAUAGUGGAUAUGUUAUAGACUGUGUGGUGUAUUGUGUUCAUAGUGGAUAUGUUAUAGACUGUGGUGUAUUGUGUUCAUAGUGGAUAUGUUAUACUAUGAGGUGUAUUGUGUUCAUAGUGGAUAUGUUAUACUAUGAGGUGUGUUGUAGCUGUUUGCAGGCAGAAUGUUUCAGUGGUUCUAGU